rnacentral:rRNA from 1 species
UACGUAGGGGGCAAGCGUUGUCCGGAAUCAUUGGGCGUAAAGAGCGUGUAGGCGGUCCGUUAAGUCGGCUGUGAAAGUCCAGGGCUCAACCCCGGGCCUGCAGCCGAUACGGGCAGACUAGAGUUCGGCAGGGGAGACUGGAAUUCCUGGUGUAGCGGUGAAAUGCGCAGAUAUCAGGAGGAACACCGGUGGCGAAGGCGGCAUCCUGGACCGGUAUUGACGCUGAGGCGCGAAAGCUAGGGGAGCAAACGGG